GUUUUUUGUUAGUUUGUGGGUUUUUGUUUUGUUUUUCUGUUUGUUUUGGUUUGGAUUUUUUGUGGGUUUUGUUUUGUGAGGUUUUUUGUUUGGUUUUUUUGUAAGUUAGGUUGGUUUGGUUUAUUGUUUUUUUCGAGGGGGGGGAGGGAGAUGGGCAGGCAAAAUGAUGGAGACUGCAGAAGAUUCUGUUAUAAAAUCAGGUGCAAUUUUAGCCAUAUAAAAGGACUGCUUUAAACCUACGGCCAGCUGAUGAUCAGUGGUGCUGUUGGCAUGUACACUUCCAGCUGGCUGCUGUCUCUACUGAAGGACAGUUUCAACCCAAGACCCAUUGCAGUGGUGGUACAGUAAGGGGCUUUCAUGUGCUUUGGGCCAAGGACCUUCUAUUGCUCAGUUCUACCAGUGAGAAGACAAGCUGGAGGUGAGUGGGAGAGAGACACAGCCCAGUCACUGGUAAGUUAUUGGCUGUUCCUUUCUCCCCAGAUCCCCACAAUGGGUCUGUGUUAGAAAAUCUAACUCAAAGCCCCAUAGUCCUGAGCUACAGGUUUGCUAAAGGAUAGACACACUGUGCCAGUGGAGGCUUUGCUGUUCAGGAGAUACUGCAGAAAUAGGUUUAAAUUAUUGAAAUUAUCAGAUACCCAGCUUGUGACCUCUGCCCCAGAUUUUUAGGCUUUUAUCAUUUGUUCUGGUUUGUUUGUUUUUCUCCUAAGCUGAUAUGAAGGAGAGAUGGAAACAGCCUGCUGAAGGUCAAGGUGACACUGACCAUCAGUUCACCCAAGUGCUAGAAUUCACCAGCAGAAAGCCAUGUCCACAGGUGCUGGAAGUUUCCUCAGCAAGAGAAACAGCAUGGUUGGAGGGGACACAUGGCUAGUCCUGACCUUUACACAGCCCUUCUCUGGGAAAAAGUAUCCCCUGAAGUCAAUAUGCACUCUGCCUAGCUUUCAUUAGAAGAAAAACAUCUGGAUUGAAAUUACAACAACAAAUAGUAGGCAAAUGAUGUUUCCCUGCGGCUUCAUAGAUCUGCUGUGGAACAGAAAACAUUCAGCCCUGGGCGUGCAAGAGUUGUUGUUCAUGUCUCCCUCUGAAGAAGCCUCAUUUUAAAGAAUGUUGUAGCAUACCUACCUGAUGCAGCUGCUGUGCUGCAGGCCUUUCAGGCUGUGAAUUUCAGCCUGUGCCCUUGGCUAGGCUGUUUGGGACAAGUUGCAAUACCUGUCCUUCUUGCAGAGAUCCCAGUCAAUCUUCAGCCAUGUCACUUACUGCAGGCGAGCUCCCGGCGAGCUCCCUGUUUUGCUCUGUAUCAAAGGUUCACUUCAUUCCCUUCCAUGCCUUUUCUUUAGGUGUCAGUGAUUUGCACUCUCUCCACCUAAAUCAGAGAUCUGGCACAUGAAGACUUAGAAGGCUUAGGAGAAGAAGAAAACAUCAAUAUUUCACUGAACACACUAAGCUGCACAACUCCCCAGUCUCCAUUUUAAUGUCAGCUGUAGUUGGUUGUUUGGUUUGUUGUUUUGUUAUGGUUUUUUUUCUGUAAGCUGAGUGAUCUCAUCUUCUCUGUGAAUCCCACCUGUGUGAAUAGCUUUGUUUUCUCCAUUGCUCUUGUUAACAAGGAACUGUGAGGAGUUUGUUCAGACUCACUAGUCAGGCAGUCCUGAGGUAGCUGACUUUCUAGGGAAAGCCACAGAAGAAAAAAACAGGAACCAGCCUACGCACAAGGCACAGCUUUUGCUGGUCUUUAGUUCAUGCUCCGACUCAUGCUCAUGUUAAACAAAUGGCCAUUAGCAACUGUAAUAUAGACAAAUGUAAGAAAACCCAAGCCAGACGCUUAGUCAUGGAGCUGAGCUUAGAAGUGAUGGCCCAUUAUAAGGCAUCUUCACUGACACAGGGGAGUUGUGUCAGCUCAUGGUGAUUUAGAAUUUCCUCCCCUCACUUUAAUCUGUGAUCUGAAGGUUCCUAUUUCAUCCUUUGUGUGAACUGGAUGAUGCAAAUGUGGGUACCAUAGUUACAGAGAAGUUGAGUAGGGUUCCGCAUGAGUACUGGCAUGAGAAGGAGCAGCAAUUAGCAGUAAAUUCUCUCUGCUGGCCUGUCAUUUCUGAGCUCUCCCUCUGCUGCUCUGUAUCUGGAAGUCUUGUGCUCUAGAAGAAGGGAAGAAGAACACUUCUUUCAUGUUCAUAUUAACCAAGUCAGCUUGUGAGCUGCUGAAUCCAUGACAUUGUAUCUCCCAUGAUGUUCAGUGGUAAUGACUGUCUGCUAUGUGGAUGCUCUGGUGUCCAGAAAAACAAAAAUGCAGUGGAUGCACUCCCAGGGUUCUUCUCUUCUGCUUGCCUAUUUCCACAGCACUUCCAUGCAACUCAAACCUUUGAGACUUCCAACCCCUCUGAAGUUUGAUCAAACUCAGCUCACAGGCUCAUAAAAUUAUUUGGGAACAACUGACUGGCACUGAGUGUGAUCUCAUACACUUCCUUUCCUUGGGAAACUAGGCUACCAACCUAGCAACAGGGGAAAAAAUGCCAUCCUACUAGCAAAAAAAAAAGGACCUAAACAUUGGGAAAAGAGAAGGAAGGAGGGAGAGAAAAGUGAAGCUGUUUUGAAAUGCAAAAAAUCAUUGCUUUGUGGCUGCAGAGCUCUCACACUAAAAGGGCCAGCCUUGAGGAGGCACACUGGAGAAAAUAUUCUCAAGGACAUGGGAAGCUCUCUUGUGAAAAUUAGUAGGGGAGAGAAGUCACAUGGAUUAAUCUUAUCACCAGGCACCCUAAAUGGAUAUUUAUAUAUGGUAAGGAUUGUCUGUGGUGGUACCAGUUUCUCUCUACUGACUGGAAGAAGACAGAAACACAACUGAAGUGCAACCUUUGUGCCUGUAGUGUCUGAAGUGAGGUGGGUCCUAUCUCAAAGGGAACAAUCCUCCUACAGCUCUCUCCUUCAGACCAAAGUUUUCCAUGGUGCUGCUGUAGAUUUGUUACUCCAUGUACUACAUCUGUAUUUCAGAAAAGCUACUGUGUGUCUUAAUAGCUGCUGAAGAAUGCACCUUUUAACUGGGUAUUUAUAAGCACUUAUCCGUGCACUAAAACCUGUGCUGUCCUUGUGUCUGAUGGAAUAAAAUCCUUUAAGUGA